UUCUGAUAUUCCAGAUUACCAUUGGUUUAGUGAGAAUAAAGCUCUUUCUGAUUACAGAAGGACUUCUACAUUGCGGUUUUGUCUCUGACUUCAUCAUGAGGUUUCUGGUUUCACAGCCUCUGCUGGUGUUCAUAUCAGUCCUGUCACUGACCAGAACACAAUCAACAUCUGCACCAAUAACAUUAUCAACAGAAGGCAUUACAACAACACCUGAACCAAACACAACAACACUGGCAGAAACCACUACAGAAACUACAUCAGUCACACCAGAAACUACAACAACAACUGCUCCAACAACAACAUUGACAGAAACCUCUACAGAAACCACAUCAGUCACACCAGAAACUACAGCAACAACUGCUCCAACAACAACAUUGACAGGUACGUAUAGACCUUAGAAUUAGAACCAAAUGUGUUUUUUAAAAAACGUCUCCCAUUAUGAACCCAAGAAA
rnacentral:lncRNA from 1 species